UGCCACCUUAAUGUGGUGGAGGGGUUUGAGUACCCGAGUGACCCUAGGAGCUAUGUUGUCUGGGGCUAUAUGCCCCUGGUAGGGUCUCCCAAGGCAAACAGGUCCUAGGCGACGGGUCAGACUAAGAGCGGUUCAAAAUCCUUUAAUGAUGAGAAUUUGAGGUCUGUGACGUCGCCCGGUAUGGCGCAGCCCGGGCCCCACCCGGGAGCCAGGCCCAGGUUUGGGGCUCGUAUGCGAGCGCCUGGUGGCCGGGCCUUUCCCCGUGGGGCCCGGUCGGGCUCAGCCCGAAGGAGCGACGUGGGGCCGCCUUCCCGUGGGCUCACCACCUGACCACCUUCCUGGGAAGGUGUUCCGGGCCCGUCCCACCGGGAGGAGACCCCGGGGAAGACCUAGGACACGCUGGAGAGACUGUCUCCCGGCUGGCCUGGGAACGCCUCGGUAUCCCCCCCGGAAGUGACCUGGUUUCAUAUAUGCCUAAAAGGACUUGCCUACAUCAAGGACUAUCUGGAGGAAGAACGUUCACAUCAGUCACCCAAUGGAUCAAGUGCUUCAGAUGACGAUGACCUCUUCAAGCAUGAAGACAACUCAUGGGCAGGAAAGUGUUAAACAGCUAGAAGGGUUCACUCCAAGUACCGUCGGACAGGGGCCAGCUUCAGCAAGGCCCAACAGGAGUUCUCCUCAGGGUUUCUCACCAACCAGACCUUCCAGAGCGCUGCAGCCACCGCCGCCUCGUAGGGUUGAACUUGAUGCAAGAUAUUAAGAGAUGCUAAGUUUUGGUUCAUAUGAUGAAGACACUGGGUGAUGGUUUAGCUCAAUGGGAAUUAAUGUAUACUCUAAUCUUGUCACUACUGUAUAAGAGAACCUUUCAUUCUUAGCUGAUUGUACCUUGUGAGUUGUGGCCCCCAGACUGUGGAAUAAACUGCCCAUUAUUAUCAGGUCACCCCCCCCCCCCCCCACGAGGCAUCGAAGUCUCGCCUCAAAAUGUGUUUUUAUACUUUGGCGUUGGAGUCGGUGUAGGGACAUUCGAGCUCAACAGUUUUGUGUGCUGCUCGUUUCUAUUCAUUGUUUAUUUUUAUUUUUUUUUGCAUAACUUUGGACAGCACUUUGUUCAGCAUUGGUUGUUUUUAAAUGUGCUUUAUAAAUAAAUUGACUUGACUUAUCCCCCUGUAGAUACUCCGGUUGGUCACUUUUAUUACUCGGCUGGGCUUUAAGUUAUGGGGGAUUGAUCCUGUUUCCCUUUAGAACUAUACAUUAGUUCUGUCAUUGUGGGUAGUGUGGUCAUUAUGAUACACCUAAAUGUUCUUUGCUGACACGGUUUACUGUAAUUUUAACCAAAUACUUGAAGACUAGACAUUAUUUCUGAUGUCACUUCAGCCUCACCGUCUGAAUAUGAAUAAUCUUCAGGAUCUUAGUGUUCUGAGUUUUUGCCUACUGGUUUACGUAUUUUAUUUGAACACAAUUUUUUGAGAAUCUGCAGAUGCCCCCAAGACUACCAGUAACAUUUUAACUAACCCAAACCAUUAUCUUAACUUUGACCCUCCCACUAAACCCGGUACCCAGGCAAACCUUAGCAAGCUAUUCCUUAUCAAUAGUUUG
ensembl:lncRNA